UACGAAGGGUGCUAGCGUUGUUCGGAAUUACUGGGCGUAAAGCGCGCGUAGGCGGCAACUCAAGUCAGGGGUGAAAUCCUGGGGCUUAACCCCAGAAUUGCCUUUGAAACUGUGUUGCUAGAGUGUCGGAGGGGAUAGCGGAAUUGCUAAUGUAGGGGUAAAAUCCGCAAAUAUGAGUUAGAACACCAAUUGGCGAAGGCAGUUAACUAUUCGGUUCCUGACGUUGAGGCACGAAAGCGUGGGGAGCAAGACGG
rnacentral:rRNA from 1 species